AUGUGGCCCAUUCUGCACCCAGACCUGCCAAACUGUGGAAUCCCAGGGUUGACUGUUUGAACAUGAAUGGAUGAGCGAGUUUGGUGUGGAGAACAUGACUGAGUCCUGACCCCAACCCGACAGAACACCUUUGGGAUAAAUUAGAGAAAUUCCCUUGAACACACUCCUAAACCUUGUGGAAAGCCUUCCCAGAACAGUUGAAGCUGUAAUAGCUGCAAAGGAUGGGCCAACUCCAUAUUAAACCCUAAAGUUAAGUUUCUAGAAGAAGAGCCUUAUAUCCGGUCCGGUUCCUUGGGAGAGAAUCCUGCACCCAGACCCCGAGCGGACUGAUCCGACAGACAGACAACAUGGCCUCUACUCUACUCUGUGUUGUCUAAAGAAGAAGCACACGGCACAAGAACGGGAAUCACCACAAGAAAAAGUACACAGCAACUCCUUUAGAGGACUCAACAGAGGAGGAAAGGAUCAAACAGAAAAAGGACUUUUAAACAAAAACAGAGAAAACAAACAAACAGGUUUUUUUUCUUGACAGAAAAAAAAACAGUGAAACAUGAAACACACAUCGAGGCUGAACUACAUUUUUUUCUUUUUUUUUCUCGAUUUUGUUUCCAAUAAAAUGUCUUAUGUUAGAAUUAUAAUCUGUAUAAUUUACAAUAUACAAUGUUUAAGAAGGCUGAGAAAAUACCUCUUACUAAUAAUACUGAUGUUGAUACAGAGCGUGUGAUGUUAGAGAUCAGCUACACUUCAACUGCAGCACUCCUCAGCUAUGACAAGUUGCCAUUUUUUAUUAGAUUACACCGUCUAGAUUACACAUUAUGGCAUUUUUAUUCGGGCUUAGAAAUUACAUAAACAAUGAUAUAAAAAAAUCCCUCGACUGCCUUCACCUUUUAAAGCUGUGAUCGUUCAACUGUACAGUAUGCAAUUUUGCUAUAACAAUGAAAUGAAUGUUCCUUCACUUGACUGUAAGAUGUCAGACAGGUUCCUGUAAGCUCAGCUUUCCAUUUCUUGCCCCGAAACACUCCACUUUAAUUAAACAGGCAACUUUUAGAUGUUGUCACUACAACAAAA